GCCUGUAUGGCUCAGUCGGUUAAGCGUCUGACUUCGGCUCAGGUCAUGAUCUCACACUCCGUGAGUUCAAGCCCCACGUCGGGCU
rnacentral:tRNA from 1 species